UAUGCCCUAGUCACGGGCGAGAUGAGCGGCAACAGCUCAAAUUUGAAAUCGGGCCCGAGCCUGAGUUGUAAUUUUGCAGAGGAUGCUUCAGGCGAGGUGCCUCCCGAGUUCCCUGGAACGGGGCGCCAAAGAGGGUGAGAGCCCCGUACGGUUGGACACCAAGCUCAUGUGAAGCUCCCUCGACGAGUCGAGCAGUUUGGGAAUGCUGCUCUAAGUGGGAGGUACAUUCCUUCUAAAGCUAAAUAUUGGCCAGAGACCGAUAGCGCACAAGUAGAGUGAUCGAAAGAUGAAAAGCACUUUGAAAAGAGAGUCAAAUAGCACGUGAAAUUGUUGAAAGGGAAGCGCCCGUGGCCAGACUUGCCCCUGCCCAUCCCUUGUGCCCCACAAGGUACAAGGACCAAUGGGUAGAAGGGCAGGCCAGCGCCGGUUUCCACCGAGGGAUAAAGCCGUCAGGAAUGUGGCCCUCUUCACGGGGGGUGUUAUAGCCUGAUGU
rnacentral:rRNA from 1 species